GUGCCCAGCCGUGCGCCGCCCCAGCCCCGCUCCAGCGCCCCCGGCCCCGGCGCGGCCAGAGCUCCCGGGCAGCGCGUGCGGUGGAGCGGGGGGAAGACGGCAGCUGCCUGUGCAGCUGCAGAGAUCUUCGGUUGGUACCAUUAAUUACCAUCGCACGGUGCGUAGGUUUGCUGGGCUCUGUGCAGGGCAGAAUAAAGUAACAUUCCCUGCCCCAAGGAGCACACAAUCUCCAGUGGAUCUGACAACAUGAGGGUGUGACACACCACCACGAGGUUGCAGCAAGAGAGUUGUGCUGCUGAGUUAGACUCUGAAUAGUGGCAGUGACAUCUGUUCCAUAAUGCAUCAAGCAACACACAGAUCUGCUGGAGGAGAGCAGUGCAAAACUGAGAGACCUGCUAGAAGCCCAUGUAGCCUCCUCUGUGGCAGCCUGAGGAGAAAGCAUGAAGUUCUGUGCUUGGAGUUUGUUCUGUCCAACUCACCUGGCCAGAGCAUCUGUGCUGGAGCCUUCUCAUUUUCAGAAGAGCUGGAGAAGAUCCUGGUAGGACAUUGUGAUGAAUCACCAACUUAGUCCAAUGAGAGCUUGAUGCAUGAAUAAGAAAGAAAAAGGAACAUUCUCUGGGAUGGCUUUAAUGUUUGAAUGUAACUUUUAAUUCAUAGAACUGAAGCUUCAAGAGACAGGUACAGCCUUCUGUUCUGCCAGAAAAUUGCUGACUGAUAUAUUAUUUACAUAUGUCCACUACCUUGCAUGAUGCAUUCCAUUGAACAUUCCUUAUAAUUUCAGGACCUACUCUACCUGUGUGAAAAGAUAUUUUACUCCUUAGAAAACCAUGGUCAUGUCCAGUCCCGCAAAAGAACCAAACCACAUAGUCCCAUGUCCUUGCCUUGAGCCCUGUUGAAGCCUGCUUGUCAAUCCUCACCUGAGGUGAACUAGCAUGUAUUUAUUUAUGCCACUGGCUGAUUGAUGUAUCUGGGUUCAUUGCUAAUAAAAGGGUGUGAUGCAGACAGAUCUGUUUAAAGGAUUCCCUUUCUGGAAUGUUAUGAAACUAAAGUGUUAAAUAUUCUUGUCAUAAUUAUUCAUUCUGUCAAUAGCUAAUACUUUACUGUUUUUAUCAUUAGGUUACUACAUAGGUUUCUUAAAUAGUCACAAGUGCAUGUAAACGUAUUCCUGUAUCUACCAAUAAAAGUACUCUCCUCUGUAGCAGGGAACAAAAUACAGUCUUAGUUAUAAGUGAUACAUAACACAGAAAUAGUAUCCUAAAUAUCUUGAUCCAUUUUUAUACUACCACGUAGGAAAAUGAAGUCUUCAGCAAAUCUUUGUUUUUUAUUAAGAGUUAUUCCUAGGAAGAAUUAUUCCCCAGAUCUCCUUGGUAAGAACUAAUAUUGUUUCUGGUAGAAUCCACUUUAUAUACUUCAGUGCUAAUACUUACAGUACAUUGUUUUUAAUCCAUGCUCAAAUUAGCAAUUAACUAAAAUAGUUGUUUUUGUAAAUGCAUUAUAAGAAUAGUUAAUAAUUUAUAUUUUUCUGAUUCCAGAGUGCAACAGUGUGAAAAUGAAUGACUAAUUUGUUGGUGAUAUGGGAAGGAAUUUUAAUCUUUUAUGAGAACAUCUUGGCCGUGGGUAUGCUUAUCUCUGAGAAAGAGAACUGGAAUUCUUCAGUGGGCAAUGUAUGAAUGUUAUCUGAGGCAGCGUUGAAAGUAAAAAUAAUUGAGCAAGGAACUAGUAACAAUUUCCUCUUCUGUGUCUAAGAUUUUUAUCAGCUGCUUUCCAAGCAAAUUGUUAGCUCAUAUGGAACUGAGUAUUAUUUCAGAAACAUAACAAUUCAUUUAUUAAUUGAGCAUUUAUCUGCUUCUGUUAUAGGAUUCAAAAGUCUGUUGCUACAAAUAAGCUGAGAGAAAUUUGGCUCAUCUUUAACAAUGUUCCUAAAAACGGGUUUUCAUGAUCAAUAUAAGCAUCACUGCUGCUUCAGUUGGGAUUUCAGAGUAGCCGAUUGUCUUGUUGCAUUCUGGGGCCAUUCCCUUUGUCCUGCAGUUAAGUUCAUGCUUCCAUUUAAAGGUCAGCAGCAUGACUGUAAGUGCAGAGCUGGUGACUGCAGGGGCAGAUCAAUGCCCUGUCCUCACCGCUAGCACUCCCUGGUGCAAUGCCCUGAGAAUAUUUUUAUGCAGCCUCCCUUUCCUUGGGUGUAGUUGGUAGGCAUAAAAGAAGAAUGAAACCCUAGUCGGCUCCAGCAGUCUCAGCUCUCUGUUUGCCAGGGUUGCUGCCCAGAAUCACUCUCCCACAUGUGUAUUUCCAAUAAAUAAGUAAAGCCUCUGGAUACACAGCCUACAGAGGCUAGUUAAUUUGAAGUACUGUCCCUUACAGAGUUUUGGUACCACUGUGGGUGAUACAGUGGUCAGUAAAGAAAUUCAGGGAACAGUGAAUAAACCUUCCUAGCAAACCCCAAGAAAGAUGACCUGACCUCCCGCUCACACACAUGCAUGCACAGCCACCCUGUGUACAUCACUUUCACACUCUGCCAUUUUCACAAUCAGAUUCUCCCCAUGUAUGAGCCACUCUUGCCCAGACACGGAGGUGAAGUGACAAGAUGUGCUGCUAAGCCCAUGAACAGUAUCAGCUCUCUUAGGCAGAAGUGUUGAGUAGAGACCUGUUUCUCAGCCCCCUUCUUUGGUGUGUGCUCUAGCUGCUGCCUCCCUCUUCUCUUUUACCCCACUGAUUACCACAUCCUCAAGACACUCAUUUUACCUUACAAUUCCUGCCCCAAGGAGAGAAUAUUUUUUUUUGUCCUUACAUAGCGUGAACAAUUCCAAACCUUGGCCCAUACAAACCUUCUGAAUGAUAAUGUAGUAUAAAUAAAAAAUGACUGCUACCUUAGCUAGCCACUGGGCUAGUAAUAGCAGUCCAGUAGCUGGCGCAGAUUUCUGUUGUUUUCAUAUUUUACAUUCCUGGUAUAGUGACAAAAUCCAGACUUUGCAGAUCCCCAGAUGUGGUGGUUCAUGAAAAGUCAUUCCUUGGUCCUUCUCAGUACAGUCAUCUACUUUUGUCUGGGUGGGGCAGGAACAGGAAUGGAGAUGAGUGUGUUGGGAGCAAGGAAAGAGAAGGCAGAGUGAUGGAAAGGGAAAACAGGUUUAAUAUCCUUGUAUGACUCUAAACUGCUUUGUAAGUAACUUGUCCAGGGGUCUUGGGCUAAUGCUUAUCCUAGUUUUGGACUUCUCAUUUAAUUUGUGGUAGCAUGAUCUUGUCAGUCUUCUAUGACUGACUUACUUGUUUUCUCUUUGGGAAACACUACAACUGGAAGUUAAAACUAUUAUAGAGAGAAAACAGUCAAAUAUUAAUGUUGGCUAUGACAGUUUUUUAUUCUUUUUUUGCUCGCUUCUUGGAGAAAAAUCUGUUCUUCCUUUCUUCUUGCAGUCUAACAUCACUUCUUCCAUAAUUGCUUGGAUUUAGUGCUUCUCUUAGCUGAUUUCAUAGCAUUUCACUUCUCUUAACAGAAACGUAUUAUAGAAAAGCAUUCUGUACCUUUUACCAGUUUUUCUAACAGUUCACUUCCAAUUAUGUUAGAUUGUGGAGAAAGUGGAGAUGGAAAGGACCCAUUAUACUUCUAGUUCAUGCUCUUUGUGCCAAAAUUGUUCCAUAUAGCCUGUUCUCAAGUGCCUUGAGCAAUAGCACUGUAAGUGUUUUUCCCACUCUUCUAUUUGGUGUAGCAUUUCGUGUUCCCAUAGGCAUGGCUACUGAAAACUUUCCCUGUUAUUUUACCCAAAUUUAGCUCCACUUCAGACAAGUCACAUGCCUUUGUGCCUACAAUAGGCACCUUGCUCUCUCUUUUUGUUUUCAGGAGACUUACUCCAAUAACUUUCUGGGGUGAACAAUCCAGUGCCAAAUAAUAUGCAUGAAGAUCUACCAAUUCAAGAUAUAGAGAGCCCUAAGCAGAUUCAGACUCAGAAUUCAGAUACGAGAAAGUUGUGAGCGUGACAGUUUUAACUGUGCUGGAAUUACUAGGCGUUUGUGAUCUUUCACCAGAAGUAUAGGAGGAAAAGUGGUGUGCACCAGCUCUUCUAUGGGACAAAUAUCCUUCUAUUUACUUGCAACAAUUUCUGGUUUUGGUUUUAAUUUCUGUCUCUUUUGUGUAUAAUGACUCCAGAGUUGGAGGGUGACACUGAUAGGAGGAGGGAGAAGUAGGGUGCCAAAGAGUCCAGUUUUUCAGCAAAUAGGCUAUCUUUCCUCCUUUGUUGCUUCGUACAUAUACCACACUGACAUCAUGCUACUUCAUGUUGCUGAAAAGAAUUUCCCUAGCAACUGCAGAGAGGAAUUAUUCAGCCUCAUUUUCUUUCAUUUCCCUCCAAUAGUUUGGUGAGUGAUUGGAAGAAAAAGCGCUAACUGUACAGUUGGAUUUUUUUGUUUUUCUUGUUUUCUUUCUUUUUGCACACACCAGAAAAAUAGCAUCAGAGCAUGUAGAGUAUACAAGCUUUUUGUGCUUGUAUACUAACAUACACAUACAAGUACAUAUACGAACGUUUCUGCUGCCAUGUUCGUUUUAUGCUGCAGAGUCGAUGCUGUUGUUGGCUACAGACUCAAAUGUCAUCUGGGUUUGGAGUCUUCCAGCUUAUGAUUUCAUCUUUGCAAAUGCUGAUUUUUCAGAAGUCUGUUUAUAUGUACUGUAAACUGAAAUGUUCGGUCUGAAAGUUUCAGACAUUAAACUCUAAUCAAAACGUUUUAUGGUUGAAUUACACCUUCUUCCACUGUUAAAAAAUUCUGCUAGUGAAAUGACAUAGUAGUAUUUUAGAUUAGGUUCCUGACACUUGCCUAUUCAUGUGCUUCCUUCACCCAGACAAGCCACCAUGUUCAGGGAGCCGGACUUAGGACUCUAAAAGACACAUAUUAUUUCUGGAACAAAUCAAACAGAAUAACGCCAUUAAUAUUACCAUUUCAAUGAGAGGCUUAGCAUUAGGGAAUUUGUUAGUUUAAGUCAGUUGCCACCUUUAAUUUGGUAGCUACCUUUGAAGAUCAUGCAAUUCUUUUAAAUUCCAGGAUAAAUGCCAUUAUACAAUGUUACAGGAUGGCGGUCAGUGAUCUUUUGAAUGUCUCAGCUGGCAAAAUAGGUGAUGGGAAACACUUCUGCUCAUUUAGAGAUUCAUCCAAGUCUUGCUAUAGGGACUGGAAAGACACUCAUUGACUUCACUGGGAACUGGAUGGGGCUCUAAACAUCAAUGAAAUCAAAGAAGUCUCACAGUGAAUCGGCCUAUCUGGCAAACACCAAAAAAAAGGAUUGUAAAUUUUGAAAAUGAGUCUUCUUGCAAUGCAGGCCAAUUGGUCAGCUGCAAACUUGGCACAGCUGUGAAGCAUGUGUCCUGGGCAGUCCACAGGAACAUGAUGUUCUUUUUCGCUUCUGAGAGCUUUAGAGACUGAAAAAAAAGGACGCAACCCAAAGCCGAAGACUAAAUACUGAAAUAAUGGAACUAAAUACAGAAAUCAACUAAUGCUUUGCAAAGGUGACACUUCUUUUGGAAGAAAAUAAAUUAACAAUUCCUCCAAAAGUUGAAACAUUUUUAGGCCAAUGUACUGCUUCAUUGUAUGUCCUGGAAAAAAAAAAAAAAGAACAGAAUUCAGAGAAUUCUUUGGCAGGAGCUGUUGGAAUUUGACCUUUAUAUCAAUGCACUGUAGAAAUCAGGCAGAAUUCCUGAAAAAAAGAAUACUAAGCAUGUAGUUUUCAUCCUUUAACCGUCUGUGGGGGGAGUGAAACUCAUCCAAAGAGAGGAGAAGCUACUGGGCGUCCAAACUGCCGUGCAGAAAUCCUGUUGCGCUAUCUUCAAAUACAAGUGUGAUUUUGAAGCACAGACCCAUAGUUGCUGCUUUUAAAGCCUUGUGCAGUGGGUACAAACUCCAAAAAGAAUAUGUAGACUUUUAACUGCAUAUAAAGGCACAAGAGCAAGAAUGUCAGUUGAAUAUUGUGGUUGAUGUAAUGUGCAAAUAGAGCACAACACAUGCACACUUAGGCUUGAAAGCAGCCACUGCAAAACUGGUUUUCAUUGCCCUGAUUUCCCACAAAGGAAGCUUCUCAUGCUUAGAAAGCCGGAGUAAUGCCAUUAAUGGCAAUGGAGCUUCACCACAAUAAAAGAAAUGUGAGGUUCAGUAUCUGUAACAUGCUGCUAAACCAUAAUCUCAAGAGACCUCAAGUCUAGCAUUCUUACAGCUCAGCAUUCUGCAAUUACAUAGCAAAAAAAAAAACAAACCUUUGGAAUUCCUUCUUUCAUGUCUUUGGGAGUAGACUGCACUGGUAAAACAACAUAUCACAGUAUAUAUGAUUAGCAACUAAAUAUCCCUAUGACCUAGAUAGCUGCUUCUCUCCUGUAAUUGUACCUUUCCAAGGAAAGUGAAUUCCUGAAGAAUAUAGUUGCAGUUGUUAAAGGGACUUGAGAAAUUGGUUUUCAAACAAAGAUAUUAAAAAGUCAUUGUUUAAAAAAACAAGUCUAUGCAAUUUUUAAUUAGCAUUUUAAUUUUGGGGCUUUAGAACGCCAAGGUGUCAUCUGCCUUUUGUUUUGCUUUUAUUUCCAGCUAUUGCAUGUGAUCUGGAGUUCUCAUCCUCCUCCUCUGCUUCCCUGCUGGCUCCAAGUGCUUUUGUCGUUGUGUUCCACAGAGACCCAGCCUCACAAGUGCAGAAGAAUACAUUACAAAUUUUUUUAAAGGGUCAUUUUAUAACUCCCAUUUUCACUAAUUCAAGCUCCUUUUUCAGGGAUAGAAAUUGACCACUAGUAGCUUAAAUUGACUCAUGGCUGAUAAUGGUUCAUUUCCACCUCUGUUUCUAUGGAAAUGGAUGUCAGCCUGGGGAAGGGAGAAUUAUUUUAAACAUAUACUUUAUAAAAGCUGUCACCUACCUGAUGUCACUUUUUUCACUGAAACUUGACUUAGAAAGGUUUCUGGUAGCAAAAACAAAGCACUGCUGGCUGGUUUCAGCUGCUAGUUGAGAGCUGGGCACCUAAAUGCGUUUUUCAAACAUAUACAAAAGAAAAUCUCAAGUCCACUGGCUUCUAGAUCCUGAAUUGUCAUUGUCUUGCAUUCUGUGCAAUAAUUCACCAUGUCAGAAAGCGUGUAUAAAACACUAUGAAAGUAGGAUGGGGGAAUAAAGCGUUACCAAAGUGGGAUAAAAUUGAUUCGUUCCUGCAUUCAGUGUUCUUUUAAACAGCAAGGCAAGAUGUGAAGGAAAAGAGGGAAGAAAAAAAUGGUGAAUUGUAAAUAUCUCCUCCUAAAGGGAGCACAGACAUUGUUGGGCACCUUGGCUCUCCAAAGAGGUUUUGCAAGUAAAGUCCACUGCAGUGUUUCUUUCUAAAAGGUAUUGGCUUGCAGCAACAUUUAAUUAGGAAGAGGUUGGUUGCAGUUGUUUUGUUUUUUUGUUGUUGCUUUUGGUUUUUGUUUGUUUGUUUUACCUCACAUAUAAAAUUCUGUUUGGUUCAACAGAUACUCAUAUAACUGAGAGCAAAAUUUGUCCUAAAUGUAUAGACAAAAUAUAAAAGUCCUUUUUUUUUUUUUUUUCAAGCUGGGGAUUGAACGAAUAUGAAACUGAUUAUGAUUCACUGCAAAAAUCCCAUUCACAUCUCAGAUCUGUGAAUACGUCUGCACGCAUGAUCUUAGUCUCAUAUAAAAUACUGAGGAAGGAUAACAUGGAAUGAGUAUUUACACAGAUUAAUACAGCAAAUAGAAGUCACUCUUCCCCUUGUCUAAUUAACUGUGUGCAGAGGCAGAGGACACCUGUCGUGGCAUGUGUGCUAUUUCAGCAGAUUUUGGAAAUUGGCCACACUCUUGUUUCCAUGCAUUUUGGUGGGUUCUCCCAUUGGCCAUCACCUGUGUUUAGGUUAUUUGAGUCAGAUAUAAUCUAACAUGUAGCAUCUGUAUUUAAUAUCUGGCACACUGCAGUCUCAACAGUGUAGCCCUUGAUGGCUUUAGCAUACUGAGCAUUUUGCACAGUGCAUGACCCAUGGAUUUCAUACAUGGUUCUCAUCAGCUGAGGUCCUGCCCUUCAUGCCUCUCUCAUUGCAUACUUUGUCCAUCCACUCCAUUGAUCAAGUGACAACAUAUUUCAUUGAAAACAGAGCUCUGACCAGUUUAUACUUGGUUUGAACAGCUGACUUUACAUUGAUCUUAAUGCAAAGAAAUAUUUUUGACAAUAUGUCACGAUAGUUCUCUCUGAAAAAGACCUUUGUCCUGGAACAGUUCUGACCUGGAAGAAAGAUGUGGCAUUGUGUGGCAAAUUUGGAUUUUCAGAUUCACUGGAAUGGACUGGAGAGAAAAUUCUUUCCUUGUUGGAUUUUUUUAAUGCUUUUGAAGUGGGAUAAGAAAAAGAACCUCGAUACUUUUCCCCAAAAAUGCUGUGGUGUUAUUUGAGGUAGUGUUUCUUUUCAUAAGCCACAGUCCCUCAAGAGAUCACACUUCUCUUGCUGAGCUGCUAGGAUGUGUCACAAGAAUCCCUGAUCAUAGUAGCACAGAGAAAACCGAAGUCUGGGGUUAUGAACAUGCUUAGCAUCUAUCAGAUCAAUCAAAUUAGGCAAUGGUGAGAAAAGGAAGGAUUCAGCUGAAAACCAACAGCAUAUUUAACACAAUGUAGAAAAAUUGUAUUAAUUAAAAUAACAAUUUUAUGUUGAAAUUAAGUUUGGACAAAAAAAAACCCCUACAACAUUCUCAACCAGUCAUAUCUGAAAGGCUAACACUCUGCUGAUGGCAAAGUAUUUGGUUGCUACUUUUGUACAGAUGGCUGCAUAACAUUCACAGAAGGGAUGAUUCUAGGAGCCAGUUUUUAAAAUGUCAUCUUCUACAUAUGUAAGUGCAAAUGGGUCCCUGCAUAUCACUUGUGCAUGCAAAUGAUAGACCUAGUAUUUGCACGUCAAGCACAGAUCAGCUUUGGGCAUUAUCCUACAGAUGGACAGAUAAGGUGUGAAUUACAUUUAUUCAAAGAAAGCAAGCUACAAAUCCCUUUAAAAAGGGGGUCUCUGUUUUUGUCUACUCCCAGCAACAAAGAGCUGCUGAGGUGACAGUACUCCUACAUAUUUUUGUGAAGAUAAUAUUUUCAUCUUCUUGGUAUGCUCUUAUUAUUCUGUUUUUCAAAGAUCUCAUAAGGUUUGGUGAGUCUUUGCAUUGCAGAAGUCAGGGACGGUUUAUAAUUUAAUAUUGGCAUGGGCUGUCAGUAAUUACCCACUUACCUCUGCAUGAAAAUUGGCAGGAAGUUACUUUAUUUGUGCUUCUGAUUAAGUAUAAUCACUGUGUGAUGUAAGGUUUGAUGCCUUUAUUUUUUCCCUCCCAGUUUACUUAUUGCUGAGAAUAGAUUUCUUACCAGAAUAGCUAAGAGUAAGAGAUUUUGGGCCAGGGUCUCAGUAGGUCUAAACUGGUUCCAUUUACUUCUAUAUCAAUUAUUUAGUCAUAGACUGAAAAUAAACAGCUUAACUGGGACUCAUAGUAUUUUGAAAUAGUAUUAAACUACUAAUAGGCUGCUAUAUAUAGAUGUGCAACUGCAAAUGUGUUAGUUGGACAUGCAUCAGAUAUCACAUUGAAAGUUAAAUCACUGCUUCACUGAGUAGCAGAGAAGUAGUGAGGUUUCACUCUUACUGGGAGUUACAACAGUUCUUCAAAUAGUAUCGCUUUAAAUGCAAACGUGCAAUAAAUUUCCUCUUGCCUCACUGAUACUACUAAGUAUUUAUAUUUCAAUCAAAAAUGCCAGAAAUCUUUUCUCUGUCUAAGCACAAUUCUUUCCAUGCCUUUUUUUCUGAAUUUGAUGAGAAAGGAGAGGCAGAACAUAAAUUUUUUAGUUUUUAUAGGUAUUUAUUGUUAGCCUCACUUCACUACUCUUGGUAUUUUUGAAGUACUCAGUGAAUUGUGACUUAUUAGUUCAUUUGCUGGCUAUUUGAUACCAAUAAUGUUAACGCAGGUGAGAUAAAUGUCAUGGAAAUUACUGUAUUUCCAGAAAACAGGCAGCUUAGCAAGUCUGGUCAUAUGACAAUGGGGGACUUAUCAUGACACACUUGGUCUUCUAAUUAGAGGUAAACCUUAUAGUAAGAGGUGAGCUAUACAGCUGCUAUAGUACUGCAUUUUGACUAGUGAGCCAUAAAUGUGUUUAUUAGUAUUCAGAUAUGUAAACAAUUAAGAACAUAUAUAAUCACCGAUGAAGAAGAAAGAAUUGAGUGUGACUUUUGUUUGGAUUCUGUGGGAGCACACCUUGGAUGAGUAUUGCCUUUUUGAUUAAAGGCAACACAAUUAUUUUAUACUGGUUUUAGUGUUUGUGUGUCCAUAGCUAACUUAAAAAAGCUGAUGCCAGAGAGAGGAGUUUCAGAAGGGUUGGUGCAAUUUAUUUUUUUUAAUAUAUUGGUGAAAUUGUAGUGCUUAACCAGGUAGUAUGCGGAAGACUCUGAAGAAAAUCUAUUUCUUCUGAGCCCGGGGAGAAGGACAAGAUCUGGAAUAGCAGACAGUGAGUAAAGUUUUCUCAGAGGUAGUAACAUGCCAACCAACAAUGCAUGCUGCUAUCAAGGUGGACGUAUCAAUAGCUAACACAGCUGCUUGUCUUAAAUGAAGGAGAUGAAAUGAAGAAAAUGAAUAUUUCCUUCCUGUCCUUCUCCCCACAAUAGAUUCACAAAAAAAGGGCCUUGGGACUUUCAUCUUGUUCUUUGAACUCAAAUCUUCAAGGCCAUUGUUUUCUGUCUUUCAAUUUCUGUAGCCAUCUGUGUAGUGAAUACCACAUAAUCUUUGCUCAGAAGACCACAAAGAAGUGGAAAAACCAGGCCUCAUCUUUAGUAAUGAAUGAUUAUGAAUGGGAAAGAAAUGGACCAAAGAAGCACUGCAAGACAGUUAGUGUUGAGAUAUGAGGUUCAUGUUUCACUACAUAGUCAUGUCCAGAUAGUGGAAUUUGUAGUGAAGUGCAUCCUGUAAUUCAGUUCUUAGACAGCAUUAGAGAAGAGCGUUUCUUUCUGCCAUUCUCCUUGAAGUCCUAUCCCAUUGUGCAUAUUACUGAAUAUGGAACACAAACAUGGGACAGGAAAAACUAAAGCCUGUUUCUCUGGCUUUGAAGCAAAUUAUUGGACUAGAUAAUCUUUUGAGGUCCCUUUCUUAUCCCAUUUUCAUUGAUUGUGUUAUUGUAGGCAACUUCCUACUAAUCAUACAAUUUUCUAUGAAUGAUGGAAAAGUGAAAUUAUGAUUAAUUAAAAUAAAAGUCCUAUCUAAUUUUCAUUCAGAAAUUCACUAGUCAGAAAGUAAAAGGCAUUUGGAAAGGAAAUUAUUCCUGUCUCUGCUUGGAUCAGUAUCACUCUGUUGCUACCAAAUUAAUUCCUUGAUGUGGAGAUGCAGUUUAUUCUUUCCAGUGCAAACAACAGUUCAGGUUUCUUUUGCUCUCCCAUGCCAGUGAUAGGUGAUUGAUGAACUGUUAUUUGAUAUAUUUCCAGCAAAGUAAAUUCAAGACCAGUUCAUACUAUGACAUGGAACUGUGCAGAUCUGAAUUCUGUGCCGGGCAUAUUAUUUCCAAUAAAAGAGACUAAUUUCAGUUUGUUUGGUCUACAUUUUGCUUAUGGAAUAAAGGCAUCUCCUUGUGAAGCAUCUACAAAAGAUGGAACUGUAUCCAGGAACUGGUAAGUGUUCAGAAGGGACACCAAACUAACGUGAAUUCAUCUUGAAGUCCCCAAAUGCCAAGACAAGUUAUUGUAAAUCCCACCAGAUUUAAUGGAUGCUUGAUACAUGUGGUAGACACAAACCAGGCAGCACUCUGCAGGCAGACUUGCCUCCUCUUUCCAGUGCUGUUGCUCCAUAUAGUGGCUAUAGGAAGACUGAAGUCUCAGUGGCGUUUCAAUGUGCUUGGCCUUUCCACAUACUGCCGAGCAACAGGUUUCUUGUAGACAGCUCUCGAAAUGGCAGGUGUCCUAGAUCAAUAGCUGCCAUACAGGUUUCUGGAAUUUGAGUUCUUUGGCUCACAGGUGGCUACUACAGGCUUCAGGACAAUUUCAAGGUGAAACAUUUGUAGUAAGGUGUAGAAGAAUGAUGUUCUGAGAUAAAUGUGAGGUAGCUCCUGAAGAAAGGUGUAGGUAUGAGUCUACAGAUUGUGCUUGCAAACAGCAGUUACAACAUCCUUGUCACCACUCUAGAAAUAUGAAAAAGAAAAUAAUGCUGUAACCUGAAACUCUGAGCUGAGCAAAAUGAGCAGCAGUUAUUUUUUUCGUCAUUAGGUAAGGAAUUCUACUGUUCUACUCCUUGGACUCUAUACUGAGAAGUAAAUGCAGGUAUGGAAAUUUUACAUUUGGCUCAAGAGAGAUACUCAGGUGUGGAGCUGUUGCAGAGACUGUAGACAAUUCUUUUUUCUUCUAUAUUUCCAAUACGUCUUGAACAUACAAGAAAAACAUGAUGUUUGGUCCUGACUUGUUAGGUAUAUUUUGGCACAGAGGUGAGAGUGGCAACAGCCAGAAGAUUUAGGUACUGGGAUCAGUCUCACUCCAUCAUAAGAGUGACUGCAGAUUCCAUUUCCUGACUUUUUAGGAUGCAUUUUUGAUACCUGACUUCUGCAAGUUGUAUCUCCUGUAUUCAGACCCUAGUUUUAGUGACUGCAUAGGCCUUCACCUCUCUCUCACAUGGAUUUUGCUGCAUUGUGCCUCUAAUUGCAAAGUGAACAGCUCUCUCCUGUACCUGACACUGUUUCCUUUCUGGGGAUAUCACCCCUCGUUCAGUGGCACGACUUUAUAGCCUCUGUAGUCAGUCCCAAAACAGCAGUCCCCUUUAUCUUUUUCUGUGUUCCUGGAGCUGUUUGGAACUUGUUCCUGGGAGUGGAAUGCAGACUAAUAAAACUCCAGAGUAUGUGAGGUUUAUAAAUAAAUUAAAAUAGUCUCAUCUGAAAUACUCAGAAGGGUAUUUGCCAACACUAACUGUAGGCAGAGAUAUAUACUCCUUGCCUUCUCUUCUUGACUUCUUUAAACUUUUAAAAGAAAACUGAAAUAAAUUCACCUAUCCGAUCCCAACCAACCAUCUUCACUUAAAUGUAUGCAGAUCUUCCAACAGUGGAACAGGAGUCAUCAUUUGGGAACUGCUAUAUUCCUCAUUUCCUAAUUGCUGUCCCACAACUGCUUCAGCAUCAUAAGCUGGUUUAUGGCUUUCAAAAUGGAGAAAAAGAGGUCAAACUGCAGAUAUAAUAAUCACUGAGUGAUAAGCAGAUUUUUUUAAUGCACUGGAAAAAGAGAAAGCACCUCUUUUUUUUUUUUUUCUAAUAGAGAGCAGGUUUUUUGUCCUAAAUGUGUGCCAAGGCUGGCUUUUUUUUUAGAUUUUUGUCUGUUUUAAUUUAAGUCAGCUGUUUAAAAUCAGAAAUAUCAAACGACCAGUCUACUCAAUUUGGUUUGCCUUUUUAAACAUGAUUAUAGACUCUACUAUGUCAGGUCUUCGCGGUCCUGUUUCGGGGCACAGGUAAGGCAGAACAGAGCCUGUGGAUCUGGGAGGGUGGUGAGCGGUGCACGUGCCCCACGGUGCAGGUUGCGUGCCAGGCAGGUUUCUGGGUGUACAGGAAGAUGUAAAUCCCCUGCUUGUUCACUCAGGCUUUGUGCACAGUGGAACGGAUUUUUACUAGAAGCAGACUUUUGCUCUAAUCUGAAUUGUUCAACACACCUUAUUGCACCUUCAAAGAACGUGGGUCCUUCCUUAUAUUUCUGCAGCAAUGGAACACGGAAUCUCAUUUCCCACUGCAGUGCACUGUACAGCUCAGUGUCCUGCUGGCUGUGUUUCUGCCUCUGAUUUGCUGCUGUUUCUUGAGUAGAUACUUCUCUGUUUAGAUUUUUUUCCUCUGGCUUUCAUCCCAUCACUGGGAGUUUCCAUUUUCAGUCUGUAGCAGAAGGCUGCCACAAAAUAUCUUCAGCUUUCAGGACAUGUAGAAUGUGUGAAUCCAUUAAGCUUGUCAGGUGGAAGAAUGGGGAUUCAAUAGGUUUAAAUAGAUGCUAUAAAUACUAUUCAUAAAAAAGGCUGAUCCUAUUUUAAAAGUUUGCUUGAAAAAUGUCUGUACUUGCUGGCACUAAAAAAUAAAAUCAAUGUAAAAUUAAAAUUUCAAAGCGAAGUGGAAUAUUGUCUGUUCCUUUGUGCAACAGGGCAACUGUAGGUUUAUGGAGUUUUAUCCACUAAAAAAACAUGACAAGACAAGAGAUACUAACCAACAAACUAGAAGAUGGCUUUUUAUGUGCUGAGUCUCUAAUUGAGUUUGGAAGUAUACCCAGUAAAAAUGUGACAGCCAGUGGCCAGAAGCACAGCUCAUCAGCUCAUCAGACUGUGGAAAGAAAUAAGACAAAACACAUAAAAUUUCUUGUGAAUUCUUAAACCCCAAAGGGUUGCUUUUAUCACUCUACUAAUUUCAGUGCUAUCACAAUGCUUCAUUGUAAUUUUGAUUUUUUUUCAUAAAUAGAAAAUAGGUUUCUUAACAUGAAAUCCACUUGUUACAGCAGAAAACUGCAGAAACACAAUGAAUUCCAAAUGAAUACUUUCAUUUAAUUGUCAGGUUUUGACAGAUCAUAAAUCAGUGAGGAAGUUUCACAUCUUCUGUAACAGCCACUAUGCUAAUGAUAAUUUUUGCCUUAUGUACCCUAAAUGCCAGAAGGCACGAAAGUGGCCUCCUGUUUAACAUCUCCUUUUUUUCCUGGAUCAGACUACUUGCAAGUAUUUGCAUUAGUGAAUAGCAAGCUCCAAAAGCAGAACUUCUUUCACUUCAUUUUGUAAAUUGAUUUCUCCCUUAGCUGGAGUAACUAUUGAAAGUCAAUCUGUCUAGGCUUUUAAAAGCUCUUGCGUCGCUGAGCUAUUAUGGAUAUCACUAACACAAUAGCAAAUUGAUGCAGAAGGUGAGAAGUGCCCUCAGCAAUACCAAGACCUGGGCCUCCCAACUGCAGUGAUUUUUGUGGCAGUGUAGUUGCCCUGUGUAUCACCAGCUAUCAGAAGCAAUUGCUUCCAGAAUGGUUAAGCUGUUUUACAACAAACAUGUUUUAGUAGUUCUGGAUGUUUCCGAUGCUUGAAACCCAUUUGUAAAGGCAAGACAACUGCCAUUACCUGCAAGGCGUGAUAAAUUUAUCUUCUCCUUGCAAAUUAAUUGAAAUAGUGGAUAGAAAGUGUAUGAUAUCCAUUACUUGGAAAAUGAGUAGUUAAUGAGAACCCAAACAGGUAGAGCUCAUAAAUGCAGCUGCAGAAAUGGGAGCUGGAGAAUGGAGAUUCAGGGUCCAGUCCCCACCCACUGAAGUAAUUGGCAAGUAUCCCAUUGCUGUUGGAGAGACUACAACUCAACGCCAUCUAGCACACUUUGUAUCGUGCCUAAGUUUCCCAGCUGAAUGAGUAACAAUGAAUGGCUUGAGUCCCUGGCUUAGUCAGUUCUGAGGUAAUGUACGAAAUUAGCUUGCUCUUCCUGCUUGUCCACAGACAAUUGAAGAACAGCUACAUCAAAUUCAGUCACCAUGAACAACUCCUUGGGAACUGAAUCUACAGGACCUAUGUGGCUACAAGGAUGAAUCUGGCUACACAUCUUGUGCAGAAAUCCCGAAUUGCAGAUACUUAUAUAAAUUGCCAUCACCUCUUGUCAUUGUGAAGUACUUACAGCUCUGGGCAUCGGGGCCCAAGUCAUCUAAACUGGGAGCUGCAGCAAACUCCAUAUCUGUAACUAAGGCACAAAGCCUACACCAAGUAGGUUAUUUAAAUUUCCAUCCUUAGUACAGCUGACUUUACUGUUUGCACAGCUUUUUUCCCCUGAUCAAUAUCAAGAGACACGCUUUGUAACCUGCAUGGAGAAAACUGAAUCUGUCUAGCAGCGUGACUUAGAAGUUAGUUUGUUGACAUAGGGCAAAUCAACUUCUUUGCCCUUGGACAGAGGCAAUGCCAGUUAAGCAUCACAAUACCUUUGAGAUGCAGGUAUAAGAUCCUUAGCUAUUUUCCUUUUAAACACUGCCUUUACCCCAGUGCAGACAUUAGCCUUUCUUCAUGCUUGGGUGUUUCCAUGCUGUAGCUGUAAGUGGCUUGACUUGAAAGUUUUUUGUUUGGUUGGUUGAUGUUGGUUGGUUGGUUGUUUUGUUGCUGUUAUUUCGGUUUUGGUUUUUUGUUGCUUGCUUGGUUGUUUAUUUAAUACUGAAAGCCAAAAUACUUUGAAAUACUUUUAGCUAUUCCAUUAGAACUAUCAACCAAAGUUGCUCAUUGCCUAAACAAGAACAGGAUCUUAAGCUUUCAAAGCCCAAAGAUAUACUGACCAAAAUGUCGUGGUUGAGAUGGACAAAUGACAUAGACCAAGUUCUUCCAGGAUGAAAGUAGUAGAUGCCAUUUAUUGCCACAAGUGCAGUUUUAUACAGUUUUACCAAUUCAUAUGUCUCUUCACUAUUGGUUACAAGUUACAACAGUAACAUCUCAUUGGCUAUUUUUGCUGUCAUCAAUGUUACUCUUCUACGCCCUUCUCUCUCAUGGGUACACUUUAAUAUCUCUGGAUACUCUUUUACUCCCGUCUUUCUCACGGGUAGCCCUCAAUAUCUUCAGGGCUAAUUUCUGUUCCCAUGCCCUCCGUCAGGGAAUCCGCGGACCCACUGUAGUCCCCCACACCAAAAUAAGACCUAGUUUAAAGUUUCCUAUUCAUACUGCUUUCACCUACUUUUCUCAAUAUCUUUUAUUAGAAAGAUAUUCUGGAAAAUGUAAUUUACCCAACUUCUUUGCAAGAAACUUUCAAAAGCUAGCUAAUAGAAAUUGAAAUUUUCAAAUACUUUAUUUUUCAUACUGUGGUGUUUUAAAUUGAUCUUCAAUUAUAAAAUAAGGCCACCAACAAAACACAAUUUGCUUA